AGCUAUCCACGCAUUAAAUGGGGAAGGAAAAAGCCCCCUCGAACUAGCAGUGGAGUCGAACUUUGAUGAUAGUGAAGUCCUUGCUAUGUUAUCAGACUCCAAUGGGUGAAACUCUCGUAUUUGUAACGAAACUAUCCGAGGCCAAAUUCAUGAGUGCUGGGAUGAUCAUUAUCAAAAGAAACAAAGGAUGCCGAUGGGGUGCAUUGUCGAAAAAUGUCCGCCGGUGCUGUAAUCUAAAAUGGCUCCGGUGGUCUAAGCCGAAAGCAUGCGGUAGCUUUCAGCCAAGGGCUCUGUAAUGUGUUCCUGUGAGGAUUUAGUGUAGGCCAUUGUGUAUUUGUACAUUAUUUCUUUUGGUGAAAGCUUUUGGUGGCUGUAAUAACUCUAUGAAGCUCAAAACUUCGACCUUAUGUUGUUCUAGGUUUAGGGUUUCCGAAGCCGCAAUAGAAAAUAUGAAGGUAAUACAAACAAAAAGAAUUUAUGCUAUAUUUCUUCUUAUUCGUCU